UCUCAGCCCCGCCUGCUUCUGGUCUCAGCUUGACGAAGACCAAGAAGACGGAUGCCGAGGAACCCUCAUACUCCACCCGAACGACAAAUAGAGGUGCUUCCAAAACAAGAACAGUGAUGGAUCUCCCCAAAAGUAAAUGAAGAAAGAAUUGGAAUUUCUUUUU